GAUCAUGGCUCAGGAUGAACGCUAGCUACAGGCUUAACACAUGCAAGUCGAGGGGCAGCAUGACCUAGCAAUAGGUUGAUGGCGACCGGCGCACGGGUGAGUAACACGUAUCCAACCUACCGGUUAUUCCGGGAUAGCCUUUCGAAAGAAAGAUUAAUACCGGAUAGUAUAACGAGAAGGCAUCUUUUUGUUAUUAAAGAAUUUCGAUAACCGAUGGGGAUGCGUUCCAUUAGUUUGUUGCGGGGUAACGCCC
rnacentral:rRNA from 1 species